CAAGGCUGAAACUCAAAGGAAUUGACGGGGGCCCGCACAAGCGGUGGAGCAUGUGGUUUAAUUCGAAGCUACGCGAAGAACCUUACCAGGUCUUGACAUACUAUGCAAAUCUAAGAGAUUAGACGUUCCCUUCGGGGACAUGGAUACAGGUGGUGCAUGGUUGUCGUCAGCUCGUGUCGUGAGAUGUUGGGUUAAGUCCCGCAACGAGCGCAACCCUUAUUAUCAGUUGCCAGCAUUAAGUUGGGCACUCUGGUGAGACUGCCGGUGACAAACCGGAGGAAGGUGGGGAUGACGUCAAAUCAUCAUGCCCCUUAUGACCUGGGCUACACACGUACUACAAUGGCCGCAAACAACGAGCAGCGAAACCGCGAGGUGGAGCGAAUCUAUAAAAGCGGUCUCAGUUCGGAUUGCAGGCUGCAACUCGCCUGCAUGAAGUCGGAAUUGCUAGUAAUCGCGGAUCAGCAUGCCGCGGUGAAUACGUUCCCGGGCCUUGUACACACCGCCCGUCACACCAUGAGAGCCGGUAACACCCGAAGUCAGUAGUCUAACCGCAAGGGGGACGCUGCCGAAGGUGGGGCUGGUGAUUGGGGUGAAGUCGUAACAAGGUAGCCGUAUCGGAAGGUGCGGCUGGAUCACCUCCUUUCUAAGGAA
rnacentral:rRNA from 1 species